rnacentral:ncRNA from 1 species
AAAUUUUGCUAGGGGUGCCUUAUGGCUGAGAGAUGAUAUUUCAUUAACCCUUGAACCUGAUCUGGAUAAUGCCAGCGAAGGAAAGCAGCGACUAUUGAUA